ensembl:lincRNA
AUGUCACAAGGGACAUGGUCCAGAGGGAACAAGAAAGCACCAACGGGAUGUUCAGAAAGGCCUGAGGGGCUUGUGGAAAUUGGGACUCUCGUGGCAAAUCUGCGGAGCUCAGGCUUCAUAACUGGAAACUUAAAAGAACAUGGGCUUAUCUAUGGAACACAUGAAGAAGGUUGCCAAAGAAGAGCCUCCCUUGGGAACACGUCCAGACAGCACGUUCCUGCAAACUCCAGUGACUCUACAUUUCACAGACAGGAAAAUAAUGGAGUCCCCAAACGAGGCAAAUUUCACACAGUGGACUUAGGGACAGAUGGGAGAGUGUCUCUGUUUCCUUUCAAAUCCAAAGAACAGAGAUACCUGAAAAAGACUCACUCAUCCACACACAAAGGCCAGUUCCCCCUGGGACUCCCACCUUCCUCUCCACUCUCGGAAGCAGCUCUAUUUCCCUGCUCCGAAGUCUCUGCUUGCCGCCAGGCAAAGGGCACCAAAUACUGCAAGAUACUGAACAUGAAAUGAAGUCUUUUCAACGCUGCUGUAUUUAGGAUAGAAACAAACUAGCAUUGGAAAAUGUUAUUCUAAAUUUAGUUUGGGAUUUUGUAUAAAGCAUGAACAUGUGUAGAUAAUCAGACUCAAUGGCCUCUAUAUUAGGACAAAAUCUGUACAUUUUCCAUGGUUAGCAGAGAUGGGCUGACAUAAUGUAUUCAACUACUGAAAUUAAGGAUAGCUUGUUUCUGGGGGAAAAAAUCCGUUAAAGUCUCUUGAAUAUUAGUAAAUUAUCUGCAAAAUAGCAAUGUAGUGAACUUGGAUUUUUCCCUCUUUUAUGAGCUUCAGCUGCUUUAUUUCCCAUAAGUUGUUCAGGGUUAGAAGCACCGUGUUUGGGCUGCCGUGAAAAUAAGAUGGCAACUUAAAUGAGAAGAAAAACGUAUCCCAUAUUUCUAAGAGAAGCAUCUUCUUGCUUGGAAAAGUCUUAGCAACCUAUGAUGCUUGACUCUGGCCCAGAGAACGAAGGAUAGGUUAGUUCAGUUCACUCGCUCAGUCCUCUUUGCGACCCCAUGGACUGCAGUACACCAGGCUUCCCUGUCCAUCACCAACUCCAGGAGCUUACUCAAACUCGUGUCCAUUGAGUUGGUGAUGCCAUCCAACCAUCUCAUCCUCUGACGUCCCCUUCUCCUCCCGUCUUCAAUCUUUCUCAGCAUCAGGGUCUCUUCAAAUGAGUCACCUCUUCCCAUCAGGUGGCCAAAGUACUGGAAUUUCAGCUUCAGUUUCCAAUGAAUAUUCAGGACUGAUUUCCUUUAGGAUGGACUGAUUGGAUCUCCUUGCAGUCAAAGGGACUCUCAGAAUCUUCUCCAACACCACAGUUCAAUAGCAUCAAUUCUUCAGCACUCAGCUUUCUUUAUAGUCCAACUCUCACAUCCAUACAUGACUACUGGAAAAACCAUAGCCUUGACUAGACAGACCUUUGUUGGCAAAGGAAUGUCUCUGCUUUUUAAUAUGCUGCAUAGGUUGGUCAUACCUUUCCUUCCAAGGAGCAAGCAUCUUUUAAUUUCAAGGCUGCAAUCACCAUCUGCAGUGAUUUUGGAGGCCCUCAAAAUAAAGUCUCUCACUGUUUCCAUUAUUUCCCCAUCUAUUUGCCAUGAAGUGAUGGGACUGGAUGCCAUGAUCUUAUUUUAAACCAACUUUUUCACUCUCCUCUUUUACUUUCAUCAAGAGGCUCUUUAGUUCCUCUUCACUUUCUGCCAUAAGGGUGGUGUCAUCUGCAUAUCUGAGGUUAUUGAUAUUUCUCCCAGCAAUCUUGAUUCCAGCUUGUGUUUCAUCCAGUCCAGCAUUUCUCAGGAUGUACUCUGCAUAUAAGGUAAAUAAGCAGGGUGACAAUAUACAGCCUUGAUGUACUCCUUUCCCAAUUUGGAACCACUCUGUUGUUCCAUGUCCAGUUCUAACUGUUUCUUCUUGACCUGCAUACAGACAGGUUAAGCCCGCAGUAAAAUCUGACCAACUGGUGAUGAAUUGAGUAUCACCAUCUUUUCCAGAUGGAUAUUUCAUUCAUUCUUUUUUUUUUUUUCAACUCAUUAUAUACCAACUAGGCAUUGGGACAUAGUAGGAAACAAAAUAAAUUCCCUAUCCUCGUGAAGUAAUAAGCCUUCGGUUGCAUAGACAGCAGAACUCAGACUGAUAUGAUAAACGCCAACAAAGCAAAACAAGGCAGGAUAAAGGGUAGAGAAUGAUGGUGGUGUGGUUCAGGGGAUGGGGGGGCAGCCCUGGAGAUGAGAGAAGGUGUGUCUGUGGUGAUAAUAUUGAUGCUCUUGGUACCUAAAGGAGGGGGUCAAGAGAGCCACGCUGGCAGCCAGAGGAAGAAGUUUCAGGUGGAAGGAACAGCAAACACAGGCAAACAUCUGGAGGCAAAAGGUAUCUUAUCAAUAUGCACAGCACUAUGGAGAAACCAGAGCAGACAAAGGGGAGAGUGGCGGAACACGGUCAGGAAAGUCCAGCCAGACCACAAGGAUCUUGUCAAUUUCAUGUCAAGUGCUGUUGACAUGAGAGAUGCCGCAGUGUAUUCACUGAGAGCUGUCUCAGUCUUAAUGCCCUUUAAUGUUUCUUAAGACUUUUUUUUUUUUUUUGAUGUGGACCAUUUUAAAAGUCUUUAUUAAAUUUGUUACAAUACUGCUUCUGUUUUAUGAUUUGGAUUUUGGCUAUGAGGCACAUGGGAUCUUAGUUCCCUGAUCAGGGGUUGAACCUGAAACCCCUACACUGGAAAGCAAGGUCUUAACCACUGAACUACCAAGGAAGUACCACCCUUGGUAACUUUUUUUUUUCAUGUUUUUAUUUAUUUAUUUGGCUGCGUUGGGUCUUCAUUUCGGCAUGUGGGAUCAAGUUCCCUGACCAGGGAUCAAAUCCAGGUCCCCUGCAUUGGGAGCACGGCGUCUUACCCACUGGACCAACAGGGAAGUCCCCUACCUUUGGUAAUUUAAAGGGAAAAAAAAAUACAAGAGUGGCCGCAGCACAAAACUUUAACGCUCGGAAGAUAUUUGGAAACACUGCUGCAUCUCAUGCUUCUGAAGAGUUAACUAAGCUCAUUAGAGUGGCCAGCCUUCCUGCCUGGUUCAUCAGACCCUGCUGGCAGCUGGAAUCUCGUGAAUUAUACCCCUCCAGCCCCUGGAUCAUGUGCUUGGCAAGCAGAGCCGAGGGGGGACUUAUAUAUACCUUCAGAGCUGCUGUUUGAUGGUCUGGAUGAAAAAUGGCCUCUUUAGACUGUGGGACUUUUCUUUGCUUAAAAGAAGAAUGAUUUCUCCAGGAACUCAGAGGAGGGGUGCUCUGGAAUGAAGGGUGUCCUUGGAGGCAAACACAUGUGAACGCUGAUAAUGUCAGG